UUCCAGACUCCUACGGGAGGCAGCAGUGGGGGAUAUUGCACAAUGGGGGGAACCCUGAUGCAGCGACGCCGCGUGAGUGAAGAAGUAUUUCGGUAUGUAAAGCUCUAUCAGCAGGGAAGAAAAAAGACGGUACCUGACUAAGAAGCCCCGGCUAACUACGUGCCAGCAGCCGCGGUAAUACGUAGGGGGCAAGCGUUAUCCGGAUUUACUGGGUGUAAAGGGAGCGUAGACGGAGAAGCAAGUCUGAAGUGAAAACCCGUGGCUUAACCACGGGACUGCUUUGGAAACUGUUUGACUAGAGUGCUGGAGAGGUAAGUGGAAUUCCUAGUGUAGCGGUGAAAUGCGUAGAUAUUAGGAGGAACACCAGUGGCGAAGGCGGCUUACUGGACAGUAACUGACGUUGAGGCUCGAAAGCGUGGGGAGCAAACAGGAUUAGAUACCCCGGUAC
rnacentral:rRNA from 1 species